rnacentral:tRNA from 1 species
AUUUGAGUAGUUUAUAGUAAAAUGUAGGGUUGUGGGUUCUAAGAAAAUAAUUUUUCUCAAAUU